GACGGACGUUUAAGUUGGCACUACUGUACGUAGAUACGUAUGUACGUUUCACGAUCUCUCGUUGUUGUCUUUUUUUUUUUCUUUUACGCGUUCUCUCUCUCUCUCUCUCUCUCUCUCUCUCUCUCUCUCUCUCUCUCUCUCUCUAUCGAUAUCGACCUAUGCGUAUCGUGUAGACAACAAAUACUGGACAAUAAUUAAUAAUCACCUGUCUUGUACUCGUACACACCACUUCUCGCAGUCAGGAUUACGAGGCCGAUUAUCGACCGAUCGAUCUUACGCGCCAUUGCAUUUCGUUUGACGCGCUCGCGAUAGUACUCAGUCGAUAAUUUCCUCGUGAUUCGUGCAAACUUCCUCCGUAUACAUAUUACGAUCUGAGCACGAACAUCCGUCGACCGAGCAUGACGAACGGUACCGACGGUUGUUCGUCGAGUUUCGCGCGUGUGCACUUUCGACUGCAGCCGCGAUCGCGCGUCCCGAAUCGUCGUUUUUUCCAUUUUCGGGGGAAAAACGAGUGGAAACGGUGAGGAAACACGUGUUCUCGGCACGAGAGAGAGCACGUGCAACGUUCGAGUAGCGCGAACGUAAACAUUGCCGCGAACGAGAUGAGAAUCGAGUCUCGGGAAAAGAGGAAGAGAGAAAGAAAGAGACGGUCGACAGCUGCAGUUUCGAUAACGAGUCAAUCGCGUGAAGAACCGCGUCGCGCCCCCUGUCCUGCAUCCAGCUGCUCGAACAGAAAUGAUUUUUAGGCACAAACGCCAAGAAAA